CCUACGGGUGGCAGCAGUUUCGAAUCAUUCACAAUGGGCGAAAGCCUGAUGGUGCGACGCCGCGUGAGGGAUGAAGGUCUUCGGAUUGUAAACCUCUGUCACCGGGGAAGAAACGCUUCAAGUUAAUAGCUUGAAGCCUGACUUAACCCGGAGAGGAAGCAGUGGCUAACUCUGUGCCAGCAGCCGCGGUAAUACAGAGACUGCAAGCGUUAUUCGGAUUCACUGGGCGUAAAGGGUGCGCAGGCGGCCAAGUGUGUGAGUUGUGAAAGCCCGAGGCUUAACCUCGGAAUUGCACCUCAAACUACAUGGCUAGAGCAUUGGAGAGGGUAGCAGAAUUCACGGUGUAGCAGUGAAAUGCGUAGAUAUCGUGAGGAAUACCAGAGGCGAAGGCGGCUACCUGGACAAUUGCUGACGCUCAGGCACGAAAGCGUGGGGAGCAAAAGGGAUUAGAUACCCCAGUAGUC
rnacentral:rRNA from 1 species